AGUGAACGCUGGCGGUAGGCCUAACACAUGCAAGUCGAACGGCAGCACAGUAAGAGCUUGCUCUUACGGGUGGCGAGUGGCGGACGGGUGAGGAAUACAUCGGAAUCUACUUUUUCGUGGGGGAUAACGUAGGGAAACUUACGCUAAUACCGCAUACGACCUACGGGUGAAAGCAGGGGAUCUUCGGACCUUUCGCGAUUGAAUGAGCCGAUGUCGGAUUAGCUAGUUGGCGGGGUAAAGGCCCACCAAGGCGACGAUCCGUAGCUGGUCUGAGAGGAUGAUCAGCCACACUGGAACUGAGACACGGUCCAGACUCCUACGGGAGGCAGCAGUGGGGAAUAUUGGACAAUGGGCGAAAGCCUGAUCCAGCCAUACCGCGUGGGUGAAGAAGGCCUUCGGGUUGUAAAGCCCUUUUGUUGGGAAAGAAAAGCAGCAGGUUAAUACCCCGCUGUUCUGACGGUACCCAAAGAAUAAGCCCCGGCUAACUUCGUG
rnacentral:rRNA from 1 species